UACGGAGGGUGCAAGCGUUAUCCGGAUUUACUGGGUUUAAAGGGUGUGUAGGCGGGUCAUUAAGUCAGUGGUGAAAUCUCCGGGCUCAACCCGGAAACUGCCAUUGAUACUAAUGGUCUUGAAUGUUGUGGAGGUGGGCGGAAUGUGUCAUGUAGCGGUGAAAUGCAUAGAUAUGACACAGAACACCGAUUGCGAAGGCAGCCCACUACGCAAAUAUUGA
rnacentral:rRNA from 1 species